UACGUAGGGGGCAAGCGUUGUCCGGAUUCAUUGGGCGUAAAGAGCGUGUAGGCGGUCCGGUAAGUCCGCUGUGAAAGUCGGGGGGCUCAACCCUCGAAUGCCGGUGGAUACUGUCGGGCUAGAGUGCGGAAGAGGCGAGUGGAAUUCCUGGUGUAGCGGUGAAAUGCGCAGAUAUCAGGAGGAACACCUAUUGCGAAGGCAGCUCGCUGGGACGUAACUGACGCUGAGACGCGAAAGCGUGGGGAGCAAACAGG
rnacentral:rRNA from 1 species